rnacentral:tRNA from 1 species
GGGGUUGUAGCUUAGUGGUUAGAGCCUCGCACUCACGACUUGAAGGUCGGCGGUUCGAUUCCCGAUCCCA